rnacentral:rRNA from 1 species
UGGGGGAUAUUGCACAAUGGGCGAAAGCCUGAUGCAGCGACGCCGCGUGGGGGAUGAAGGCCUUCGGGUUGUAAACUUCUUUUGCUCUGAACAAGGCAUGCUUUUGGGGUGUGCUGAGUGUAGGGGUUGAUUAGCGCCGGCUAACUACGUGCCAGCAGCCGCGGUAAUACGUAGGGCGCGAGCGUUGUCUGGAAUUAUUGGGCGUAAAGGGUGCGCAGGCGGCUUUACAAGUUGGAUGGGAAAUAUUGUGGCUCAACCACAAACGUGCAUUCAAAACUGCAAAGCUUGAGUUAAGGAGAAGUAAAGGGAAGACCUGGUGUAGCAGUGGAAUGCGUAGAUAUCAGGAGGAAUACCGGUGGGGAAGGCGACGUACUGGGCUUAAACUGACGCUCAGGCACGAAAGAGUGAGGAGCAAACAGG